UUUCCUACGGGACGCAGCAGUAGGGAAUCUUCCACAAUGGGCGAAAGCCUGAUGGAGCAACGCCGCGUGGGUGAAGAAGGUCUUCGGAUCGUAAAACCCUGUUGUUAGAGAAGAAAGUGCGUGAGAGUAACUGUUCACGUUUCGACGGUAUCUGACCAGAAAGUCACGGCUAACUACGUGCCAGCAGCCGCGGUAAUACGUAGGUGGCAAGCGUUGUCCGGAUUUAUUGGGCGUAAAGCGAGUGCCGUCGG
rnacentral:rRNA from 1 species